AGCAGCCGCGGUAAUUCCAGCUCCAAUAGCGUAUAUUAAAGUUGUUGCAGUUAAAAAGCUCGUAGUUGAACUUCGGGGUCUACCCAUUGGUCAGGCUUAAUUGUCUGUACUGGUGAGAUGGAUCUCUACCUUCUGAGGAACUUUCAUGCCAUUUAUUUGGUGUGAUUGGAAAUCAGGACUGUUACUUUGAAAAAAUUAGAGUGUUUAAAGCAGACUAUCGUCUGAAUACAUUAGCAUGGAAUAAUGAAAUAGGACGGACUGAUUCUAUUUCGUUGGUUUCUAGGAUCACCGUAAUGAUUAAUAGGGAUAGUUGGGGGCAUUAGUAUUCAAUUGUCAGAGGUGAAAUUCUUGGAUUUAUUGAAGACUAACUACUGCGAAAGCAUUUGCCAAGGAUGUUUUCAUUAAUCAAGAACGAAAGUUAGGGGAUCGAAGACGAUCAGAUACCGUCGUAGUCUUAACCAUAAACUAUGCCGACUAGGGAUCGGACGAAGUUAAUUUUAUAAUGACGCGUUCGGCACCUUACG
rnacentral:rRNA from 1 species